rnacentral:rRNA from 1 species
UACGUAGGGGGCAAGCGUUGUCCGGAUUGAUUGGGCGUAAAGAGCGUGUAGGCGGCCAGGUAGGUCGGGUGUGAAAACUGGAGGCUCAACCUUCAGAGGUCGACCGAAACCAUCUGGCUAGAGUCCGGGAGAGGAGAGUGGAAUUCCUGGUGUAGCGGUGAAAUGCGCAGAUAUCAGGAAGAACACCCGUGGCGAAAGCGGCUCUCUGGAACGGUACUGACGCUGAGACGCGAAAGCGUGGGGAGCGAACAGG